ACUAGCUAACUGAAAUCACAAAAUCACAAAAUGUGCUUAUUGUGAUAACGUAAGGGAAAAAAAUGAUAUUACCUUACUAUAAGUGUUGUCUAAAUAACUGGUGCCAGAAGACUCGGUAACACCAGAAACGCGAACGUUAGUCGUCUUAAACAGGCGUAAAGGGUAAGUAGGCUGCUUUAAAUUCUAUUUUUAAAUAAGCUAGUUAAUAAAACCACCUUUGCUUGCAGCCCUAGCUAUUGCUAUCGCUUGCGCGAGGGAGGAUAAAUUUUCAGACCUUAAAUUAUAAAUAAAGGCUAAGUUAAAUGAAUCGCUUACUAGCAACUGCCUCCCUCCUAGGAUUAGUUCCGCAAGAAGGGUUUUAUUAUAAGGUGUCCUACGUAACCUUCGGUCGCGUAGCGACAACUCUUUGUUGGCUCGCGUAAGCGAGCCUACUAUAGCAGAAUUUAUAAUAAUUAAUUAUUAAUGGGGACAAAAUAGAUACACUUAAAGCUAGAAUCAUAAUUGAGAUAAACCAUAAUAAUACUUAUGUGUAAGGGCGAUAUCUGAAAAUACUAAGUAGAAUACUAACGGUGAUAACUCUUUAUCUGGUAUUGAUUGACGCUGAGGUACGAAAGUGAGAACAGGGAAUAGGAUUAGAUAC
rnacentral:rRNA from 1 species